CAGCAGCCGCGGUAAUACGGAGGGUGCAAGCGUUAUCCGGAUUCACUGGGUUUAAAGGGUGCGUAGGCGGGUAGGUAAGUCAGUGGUGAAAUCUUCGAGCUUAACUCGGAAACUGCCUUUGAUACUAUCUAUCUUGAAUAUUGUGGAGGUAAGCGGAAUAUGUCAUGUAGCGGUGAAAUGCUUAGAUAUGACAUAGAACACCUAUUGCGAAGGCAGCUUACUACGCAUAUAUUGACGCUGAGGCACGAAAGCGUGGGGAUCAAACAGGAUUAGAUACCCUGGUAGUCCACGCCCUAAACGA
rnacentral:rRNA from 1 species